CAUGCCGUAAACGUUGGGCACUAGGUGUGGGGCUCAUUCCACGAGUUCCGUGCCGCAGCAAACGCAUUAAGUGCCCCGCCUGGGGAGUACGGCCGCAAGGCUAAAACUCAAAGAAAUUGACGGGGGCCCGCACAAGCGGCGGAGCAUGCGGAUUAAUUCGAUGCAACGCGAAGAACCUUACCAAGGCUUGACAUACACCGGAAAAGUGCAGAGAUGCGCUCCCCGCAAGGUCGGUGUACAGGUGGUGCAUGGUUGUCGUCAGCUCGUGUCGUGAGAUGUUGGGUUAAGUCCCGCAACGAGCGCAACCCUCGUCCUAUGUUGCCAGCGGGUUAUGCCGGGGACUCAUAGGAGACUGCCGGGGUCAACUCG
rnacentral:rRNA from 1 species